CUGGGCUUUCAGGCUUGGAUCAACACCGACACGUGUCAAAGAAACGCAGUGUGACAGCUCCACGCUUCUUUGUUCGUCUCUCUCCAGGAGCAUUAAGGCUUUUUUAUUAUCCCAGCCACAGUUCUUGGAGGCUCUGAGUCACUAACAACUUAAAAAGAAAAAACGAAACCUUGCCUCCUGUGUUCUGGGCACCCUCCUUUUCUCUGUCUGACCACCAGAAGAUUGUGGAAACUGCUUUGCAGACUCUCCUCAGAGGUUCAGAAGGUAAACUCUGCAAGUUGGACGCGAAGAGAGCGCUGAGCGCAAGUCUGGCCCAGCCGAGGAGAAGCGUCUGGCUACGGUAUAGCGCACGCGGCUCACUCGUUUCGGUGUCACAGGCACGACGCCUCCACUGGUACCUCGUGGCACCUAGGACCCACAUCCUGGACCACUCAAACCCCCAGCUCUGCUAACCUCAGCCGCACUUUCACGGUUUGUGGGAGCAACUGACCGUUGUACUACUGUUUUUCUCUUUCUGGUUUAGGUUGUUCAUUUCCCUAAAGCUGUUUUUAAGUUUUAGUUUUACCUUUUUUUUUUUUUUCCCUUAAGUUUUCAUUUACUUAUGAAAAGCAGAGAGGGAGGGGGAGAGAGAGAGAGAGAGAAGAGAGGGAGAGAGAAGCAGGCUCCAUGCAGGGAGCCUGACGUGGGACCCGAUCUUGGAUCCCCAGGAUCACGUCCGGGGCUGAAGACGGCGCUAAACCGCUGAGCCACCCAGGCCUGCCCCCUUAAAACCCUUAAGACACCUGGGCGGUUCAGGGGUCGAGUGUCUGCCCUCAUGAAUCUAGGGCCUGAUCCCAGAGUCCUGGGAUCGAGGUCCGCAAAGGGCUCUCUGCAGGGAGCUUGCUUCUCCCUCUUCUUCCUCUGCUUAGGUCUCUACCUCUCUCCGUGUUUCUCAUGAAUAAAGAGAAUAUUUAAAAUCA
rnacentral:lncRNA from 12 species